rnacentral:rRNA from 1 species
UACGUAGGGGGCGAGCGUUGUCCGGAAUCAUUGGGCGUAAAGCGCGUGUAGGCGGCUUGAUAAGUCUGGUGUGAAAUCUUGGGGCUCAACCCCAAGCCUGCACUGGAUACUGUCAAGCUUGAGUCCGGGAGGGGAGAGCGGAAUUCCUAGUGUAGCGGUGAAAUGCGCAGAUAUUAGGAAGAACACCGGUGGCGAAGGCGGCUCUCUGGAACGGUACUGACGCUGAGACGCGAAAGCGUGGGGAGCGAACAGA